AGUGAACGCUGGCGGUAGGCCUAACACAUGCAAGUCGAACGGCAGCACAGUAAGAGCUUGCUCUUACGGGUGGCGAGUGGCGGACGGGUGAGGAAUACAUCGGCAUCUACUUUUUCGUGGGGGCUAACGUAGGGAAACUUACGCUAAUACCGCAUACGACCUACGGGUGAAAGCAGGGGAUCUUCGGACCUUGCGCGAUUGAAUGAGCCGAUGUCGGAUUAGCUAGUUGGCGGGGUAAAGGCCCACCAAGGCGACGAUCCGUAGCUGGUCUGAGAGGAUGAUCAGCCACACUGGAACUGAGACACGGUCCAGACUCCUACGGGAGGCAGCAGUGGGGAAUAUUGGACAAUGGGCGCAAGCCUGAUCCAGCCAUACCGCGUGGGUGAAGAAGGCCUUCGGGUUGUAAAGCCCUUUUGUUGGGAAAGAAAAGCAGCAGGUUAAUACCCCGCUGUUCUGACGGUACCCAAAGAAUAAGCACCGGCUAACUUCGUG
rnacentral:rRNA from 1 species